GUGGGGAAUAUUGGGCAAUGGGGGAAACCCUGACCCAGCGACGCCGCGUGAGGGAAGAAGGUUUUCGGAUUGUAAACCUCUGUCCUUGGUGACGAUAAUGACGGUAGCCAAGGAGGAAGCCACGGCUAACUACGUGCCAGCAGCCGCGGUAAUACGUAGGUGGCGAGCGUUGUCCGGAAUUACUGGGUGUAAAGGGAGCGUAGGCGGGAGAGCAAGUCGACUGUGAAAUCUAUGGGCUUAACCCAUAGCUGCGAUCGAAACUGUUCAUCUUGAGUGAAGUAGAGGCAGGCGGAAUUCCUAGUGUAGCGGUGAAAUGCGUAAAUAUUAGGAGGAACACCAGUGGCGAAGGCGGCCUGCUGGGCUUUAACUGACGCUGAGGCUCGAAAGCGUGGGUAGCAAACAGG
rnacentral:rRNA from 1 species